AGUGAACGCUGGCGGUAGGCCUAACACAUGCAAGUCGAACGGCAGCACAGUAAGAGCUUGCUCGUACGGGUGGCGAGUGGCGGACGGGUGAGGAAUACAUCGGAAUCUACUUUUUCGUGGGGGAUAACGUAGGGAAACUUACGCUAAUACCGCAUACGACCUACGGGUGGAAGCAGGGGAUCUUCGGACCUUGCGCGAUUGAAUGAGCCGAUGUCGGAUUAGCUAGUUGGCGGGGUAAAGGCCCACCAAGGCGACGAUCCGUAGCUGGUCUGAGAGGAUGAUCAGCCACACUGGAACUGAGACACGGUCCAGACUCCUACGGGAGGCAGCAGUGGGGAAUAUUGGACAAUGGGCGCAAGCCUGAUCCAGCCAUACCGCGUGGGUGAAGAAGGCCUUCGGGUUGUAAAGCCCUUUUGUUGGGAAAGAAAAGCAGCAGGUUAAUACCCCGCUGUUCUGACGGUACCCAAAGAAUAAGCACCGACUAACUUCGUG
rnacentral:rRNA from 1 species